rnacentral:rRNA from 1 species
UACGUAGGGACCAAGCGUUGUUCGGAUUUACUGGGCGUAAAGGGCGCGUAGGCGGCAAUUCAAGUCAUCUGUGAAAUCUCCGGGCUUAACCCGGAACGGUCAGGUGAUACUGUUUUGCUAGAGUGCGGAAGGGGCAAUCGGAAUUCUCGGGUGUAGCGGUGAAAUGCGUAGAUAUCGAGAGGAACACCAGAGGUGAAGACGGGUUGCUGGGCCGACACUGACGCUGACAGCGCGAAAGCCAGGGGAGCAAACGGG